rnacentral:rRNA from 1 species
UACAGAGGAUGCAAGCGUUAUCCGGAAUGAUUGGGCGUAAAGCGUCUGUAGGUGGCUUUUUAAGUCCGCCGUCAAAUCCCAGGGCUCAACUCUGGACAGGCGGUGGAAACUACCAAGCUGGAGUACGGUAGAGGCGAGUGGAAUUCCCGGUGUAGUGGUGAAAUGCGUAGAGAUCGGGAGGAACACCAGUGGCGAAGGCGGCUCGCUGGGCCGGACCUGACGCUGAGACGCGAAGGCGUGGGGAGCGAACGGG